UACGGAGGGGGCUAGCGUUGUUCGGAAUUACUGGGCGUAAAGCGCACGUAGGCGGCUUUGUAAGUUAGAGGUGAAAGCCCAGGGCUCAACCCUGGAAUUGCCUUUAAGACUGCAUCGCUUGAAUUGUGGAGAGGUAAGUGGAAUUCCGAGUGUAGAGGUGAAAUUCGUAGAUAUUCGGAAGAACACCAGUGGCGAAGGCGACUUACUGGACACAUAUUGACGCUGAGGUGCGAAAGCAUGGGGAGCAAACAGG
rnacentral:rRNA from 1 species